rnacentral:rRNA from 1 species
AUGUCACCCAUGUCCACCCUGCCCGUGCCGCUGCCGCCGACGACCUCGAGCUCGCCUUCUUCGACAUCGCGCAGGUCGCCAAGAUACCGAUCCAGCGGCUCUUCUUCUUCGACGGCCCCGGCCUCCCGCCGUUCCCGUCCGUCGUCGGCGCCCUCAGGUCCUCUCUCGCCGACACCCUCGCCGUCUUCUUCCCGCUGGCCGGCGAGCUGGCCUUCCGCCCCUCCUCCGGCGCCGUCGUCGUCGACUGCUCCCCGGCCGCGGUCUCCUCCGGCGUCAGGUUCGUCGAGGCCGAGUACUUGGGCAGCGCCGACGACAUGGCGCCGCCUGUCCCGCGACGAGGAGCACGACACCGAGGCGUUCUCGCAGCUUGUCCCGGACCUGGACGUGACGCAGCUGCCCGCUCGCGUUCUCGCCGUGCAGGUCACCAGGCCGGCGGCGGUCCACGGCGCCGUGGCAGUAGGGGUAACCAUCCUGCACGCGGUCGCCGACGGUCAGGCGGUGUGGCAGUUCAUGCGCGCGUGGUCGACGGCGUCGCGGGAGGGCGCCGCCGCGCUAGGGAGGCUCGUGCCGCCGCCCACGUUUGACCGGUCUCCGAUCCUGCAGCACCCCAUCGCCGCGGAGCUGUCCCGAACUUUCUUGCGCUUCUUCGCGCCGGCGCUGCCUCUGCUGAGGUCGCCGUCGAGUACAUCCUCCACGGUGGACACGGCGCCGCAGACCCGAAGGACCUUCGUGCUCACCGCCGACCAGAUCCGAUCCCUGAAGCAGCGGUGCGUUCCGCAAAGCCGAGCUGCCCAGCCGCCGGCGAGCACCUACGUCGCCAUCUCGUCCGUCGUGUGGGCGUCCCUGGUCCGCGCCAAGUCCAUGGACCACGCGGACGACGCCCACUUCAUGGUCGCCGCGGACUGCCGGCGCCGGCUGCGUCCGCCGCCGGGCGAGGGACCGUGCUUCGCGCGGGCCAACGUGGGCGAGCUGUGCGGCGAGGGCGGGGUGGCGCGCGCGGCGGCGGCCAUCCGGGAGCGCGUCCGCGAGGACCUGGAGCGGAGCCCGGACCCGCUGGAGGGGAUGGACCGCGUGCUGGAUGUCGUCCGCGGCGUCCCCAGGGAGCGGCUGACCUCGGUGGCGUCGUAG